UACGAAGGGGGCUAGCGUUGUUCGGAAUCACUGGGCGUAAAGGGCGCGUAGGCGGCUUUGUAAGUCGGGGGUGAAAUCCUGGAGCUCAACUCCAGAACUGCCUUCGAUACUGGGAAUCUUGAGUCCGGGAGAGGUGAGUGGAACUGCGAGUGUAGAGGUGAAAUUCGUAGAUAUUCGCAAGAACACCAGUGGCGAAGGCGGCUCACUGGCCCGGUACUGACGCUGAGGUGCGAAAGCGUGGGGAGCAAACAGG
rnacentral:rRNA from 1 species